UGGCGGACGGGUGAGUAACGCGUGAGCAACCUGCCCUUCGGAGGGGGAUAGUGUCUGGAAACGGACAGUAAUACCGCAUAACGUAUUGAUACCGCAUGAUAUUGAUACCAAAACUGAGGUGCCGAAGGAUGGGCUCGCGUUGGAUUAGAUAGUUGGUGGGGUAACGGCCUACCAAGUCGACGAUCCAUAGCCGGACUGAGAGGUUGAACGGCCACAUUGGGACUGAGACACGGCCCAGACUCCUACGGAAGGCAGCAG
rnacentral:rRNA from 1 species